UACGGCUCAGUAACGCGUAGUCAACCUACCCUAUGGACGGAAAUAACCUCGGGAAACUGAGAAUAAUAUCCGAUAGAACAUUAUGCCUGGAAUGGUUUAUGUUCCAAAUGAUUUAUCGCCGUAGGAUGGGACUGCGGCCUAUCAGUUUGUUGGUGAGGUAAUGGCCCACCAAGACUAUUACAGGUACGGGCUCUGAGAGGAGUAGCCCGGAGAUGGGUACUGAGACACGGACCCAGGCCCUAUGGGGCGCAGCAGGCGAGAAAACUUUGCAAUGUGCGAAAGCACGACAAGGUUAAUCCGAGUGAUUUCUGCUAAAGAAAUCUUUUGUUAGUCCUAGAAACACUAACGAAUAAGGGGUGGGCAAGUUCUGGUGUCAGCCGCCGCGGUAAAACCAGCACCUCAAGUGGUCAGGAUGAUUAUUGGGCCUAAAGCAUCCGUAGCCGGCUCUGUAAGUCCUCGGUUAAAUCUGUACGCUUAACGUACAGGCUGCCGGGAAUACUGCAUAGCUAGGGAGUGGGAGAGGUAGACGGUACUCGGUAGGAAGGGGUAAAAUCCUUUGAUCUAUUGAUGACCACCUGUGGCGAAGGCGGUCUACCAGAACACGUCCGACGGUGAGGGAUGAAAGCUGGGGGAGCAAACCGGAUUAGAUACCCGGGUAGUCCCAGCUGUAAACUAUGCAAACUCAGUGAUGCAUUGGCUUGUGGCCAAUGCAGUGCUGCAGGGAAGCCGUUAAGUUUGCCGCCUGGGAAGUACGUACGCAAGUAUGAAACUUAAAGGAAUUGGCGGGGGAGCACCACAAGGGGUGAAGCCUGCGGUUCAAUUGGAGUCAACGCCGGGAAGGGCGAAUU
rnacentral:rRNA from 1 species